CUGGCUUAGGAAAAUUUCGCGAACAAAUUUACGGUCCAUCAGUCGAAAGAGGAGACAGCUGCGAAAGAAAAGUGAUAAUUUUCCCGAUAUCCUUCGAGGAAAAUCGUGUAAAAGUGAAAAUUUGUUCAGUUUGAUCCCUGGUGUGGCAAUUACAGUUGUUAUUUAGUGGAGAAAGGGAAAUAACCUUGCAAUCAAUAUGUGUGGAGGUUUUCAUUGCUCUAAAAAUGCACUAAUUGCAUUGAAUAUCCUUUAUGUCAUGGUGGGCUUCCUGCUCAUCGGCGUCGGAGUCUAUGGUCGUGCUGCAUCGAUCGUGACCAAUCUGCCGAUUAUCGGUGGCAUCCUGGCCUGCGGUGUGAUUCUCAUCCUGAUCUCGAUUCUCGGUCUCGUCGGAGCCGUCAAGCAUCACCAGGUGAUGCUGUUCUUCUACAUGAUUAUUCUGUUCAUGCUGUUCCUGAUUCAGUUCUCGAUUGCCUGCUCCUGCCUGGCGGUCAAUCAGAUGCAGCAGCGCGAAUUUGCCGAACAGGGCUGGUCCCUGGCACCGGCCGAUAUCAAACAGCAGGUGCAGGAGGAGUUCCUCUGCUGUGGAUUCAACGCGACCGUUACGGACGAUCAUCCCUCCUGUACAAUGGUUAAUGUCAAAUGCUGCCCGGAGGGCUCACCAGAGACGUGCUCCUGCACUCCGUGCAUGCCGAAGCUGGAAAGCACCAUCGACUAUGCAUUCCGUUUGUCCGGAGGAAUUGGACUGUUCUUCAGUUUCAGCGAGUUUAUCGGUGUCUGGCUAACCGUGCGCUACCGCAACCAGAAAGAUCCCCGGGGCAAUCCGAGUGCUUUCCUCUAAGAUUGGGACGAUCCUGUAACGGAGCUCUAAGGAAUUUGUUUGUUUUGGUUUAUCUAAGUUGAAGAGUUUGUUUCGAGAUUUCGAUUGUUUUCUCCUCCCAUGUGCACACAUGGGCGGUUAGCACAACAACGUGUCGUGGUGUGUCUCGAUUUUCCGAUCCGUCGCCCGUCGACGAGUUCAAUGAUCAUUGCCGUGUUCCUGACCCGUCGCUAUCGCAACCAGCAGGAUCCGGACCACUUGCCGGCCCGGGCUAUCUUCCCGCAAAGCAACUACGUGUACUAGGGCGGCGCGUCUAGAUGGCAGCACUCGCACUCGCGGAAAGGUUUCACGAAAGAAUUUAC